CCUGCAGAAAUCAGAGUCAGACUUGAAGUGAAGAUGAUAACCAGGCUUAGUCAAAUACAUCUCCUUUAUAACAUACUAGAUCUACGGUGUCACUAUUAUUAGAUAAAUAGCAUUAGCACACUGUGCAGCACAGUGCAUGGAUCUCUCAAAGGACAGAUAAUCAGAUUGGUCUCAAACAUGGAGCCAGGUUACAAGCAGGCAUUCUGGGAAACUGAAUUCUUCUCAUAAUUGCUUAUUCGUAUGAAACCAGCUGACAUUCAGCAGCAAAUAUCGUGACUAUUACAGCUUCAUAUCCAUCUCCCAGGCACAGGCAGGAUAUUGGGUCAGUGUGGUGAUGCCAUUUUUUUUCUUCUUUUCAGAUUGUUGUUUAAUAUUCUUCUGAACCAGCUGGGAGCUGUUCAGGAAAAAAUAAAUUUACCAAAACACUCCAGGAUGCAAAGGGGUGUGAGAGAUGAGGGAUGCUGGGAGAUCACUUAAGAUUAGUGCUGAGUGAGUGUGUGUGUGUGUGUGUCUGUGUGUGUGUGUGUGUGAGAGAGAGAGAGAGAGAGAGAGCGAGAGAGAGAGAGAGAGAUGUGUGUUUCUGUACCUUCCCUGAGGCUUGAGAGUUGAGGCCAAGAAAAGAAAACACUGUGUUGGCUUCUUUAGACAGGAAGAAGUCUUCAUAAUCCUGAAAGAACAAAAUGCAACAUUAAAGGAGCAGUUUGUCUUUUUUUUUUUUUUUGCUCCUGUUGAUGAAAACAUUCAAAAGCUCUCUUCUUUCUUUAACCACUUUGUUAAAACAGCAUCUGCCUUGUGUGUUGUCUUUUAAGGGAAAGAAACCGAGCCAAGCACCUUGGCGUUGGAAGGGCGGAGCUUAUUUCAGGGCCAGAAAAAUGUAUGAAAUAAAGAAACUAAAAAGAGCCUUUGCAAAUUUCCUAGCAAUACUGAGGAUCAGAUUUUCAAGACAUCUUUGAAGGCAUUAAUCUGGAAUAAAUGCUUUACUCACCGCCAGAGAGCCGGACGAGGAGGCGACGUACACCCUGAUCACCAUCCUAAUGACUACGCUGGCUCGGGCUCUGCCUGUGUGUGUGUGUGUGUGUGUGUGAGAGAGAGAGAGAGAGAGAGAGAGAGAGAGAGAGUGAGUGUAUGUCUGGACAGGCUGCUUUCAAAUGCAGCGCACGCGCGCCCCCCGGUAUUUUUAUAUCACAUUAACACGAUGCUGGCGCUGCACUCCUCAUGAACUCACCUCUCGCUGACCCAAAUGACCCGACCGAACAGAUGCAUGCUGGGAAAUGUAUUUUGGAGUAGUCGGAAAGCUGUAAUGACUUUUACCUAUGCUUCAGACCCAUUAAAACAGCUCUCUUUC